AAAGGAUCUAUGCAACACGAUUGAAAGUUUGAAGUUGGUCAUUUUUUAAAUGACUGAUUUUGGCUUUGUGAAUCCACGUGUAACUAAAAUGAGCAUUGUGCUUUGAUUUUUGGUACGCUGCACAGAUGUAGAAGAAGAAACACCAAUUAAGCCGGGAUAGUAACCGACAUAGAAUGGUUUUUGUCUGACUAUGUGUGUUUUACAUUU
rnacentral:snoRNA from 1 species